rnacentral:rRNA from 1 species
UACGUAGGGCGCAAGCGUUAUCCGGAAUUAUUGGGCGUAAAGAGCUCGUAGGCGGUUUGUCGCGUCUGCCGUGAAAGUCCGGGGCUCAACUCCGGAUCUGCGGUGGGUACGGGCAGACUAGAGUGAUGUAGGGGAGACUGGAAUUCCUGGUGUAGCGGUGAAAUGCGCAGAGUAUCAGGAGGAACACCGGUGGCGAAGGCGGGUCUCUGGGCCGAAAUUGACGCUGAGGAGCGAAAGCGUGGGGAGCAAACAGG